rnacentral:rRNA from 1 species
AUUGAACGCUGGCGGCAGGCCUAACACAUGCAAGUCGAACGAGUGGCGGACGGGUGAGUAAGGUCUGGGAAACUGCCUGAUGGGGGGGGAUAGCUACUGGAAACGGUAGCUAAUACCGCAUACCAUCAGAUAUGCCCAGGGGGGAUUAGCUAGUUGGUGGGGUAGCGGCUCACCAAGGCGACGGGCCCUCGCUGGUCUGAGAGGAUGACCAGCCACACUGGAACUGAGACACGGUCCAGACUCCUACGGGAGGCAGGAGUGGGGAAUAUUGCACAAUGGGCGCAAGCCUGAUGCAGCCAUGCCGCGUGUAUGAAGAAGGCCUUCGGGUUGUAAAGUACUUUCAGUGGGGAGGCGUUACCCGCAGAAGAAGCACCGGCUAACUCCGUGCCAGCAGCCGCGGUAAUAC